rnacentral:rRNA from 1 species
CCUACGGGAGGCAGCAGUGAGGAAUAUUGGUCAAUGGCCGGAAGUCUGAACCAGCCAAGUCGCGUGAGGGACGACUGCCCUAUGGGUUGUAAACCUCGUUUAUAAGGGAAGAAUAAAUGCUACGUGUAGCAUGAUGCCUGUACCUUAUGAAUAAGCAUAGGCUAACUCCGUGCCAGAAGCCGCGGUAAUACGGAGGAUGCGAGCGUUAUCCGGAUUUAUUGGGUUUAAAGGGUGCGUAGGCGGUUUUUUAAGUUAGUGGUUAAACGUCGGGGCUUCACCUUGAUUUGCCAUUAAUACUGUAAGACUCGAGUUCAGACGAGGUAGGCGGAAUAAGUUAAGUAGCGGUGAAAUGCUUAGAUAUAACUUAGAACUCCGAUAGCGAAGGCAGCUUACCAGACUGCGACUGACGCUGAAGCACGAGAGCGUGGGUAGCGAACAGGAUUAGAUACCCCAGUAGUC